AUUGAACGCUGGCGGCAGGCUUAACACAUGCAAGUCGAACGAGUGGCGGACGGGUGAGUAAUGUCUGGGAAACUGCCCGCUGGAGGGGGAUAACUACUGGAAACGGUAGCUAAUACCGCAUACCAUCGGAUGUGCCCAGAUGGUAUUAGCUAGUAGGUGGGGUAAAGGCUCACCUAGGCGACGAUCCCUAGAUGGUCUGAGAGGAUGGCAAGCAACACUGGAACGGAGACACGAUGCAGCGUACUACGGGCGGGAGCAGGGAGGAAUAUUGAACAAUGGGCGAAAACCUGAUGCAGCCAUGCCGCGUGUAUGAAGAAGGCAUUCGGGUUGUAAAGUACUUUCAGCGGGGAGGCGUUACCCGCAGAAGAAGCACCGGCUAACUCCGUGCCAGCAGCCGCGGUAAUAC
rnacentral:rRNA from 1 species